rnacentral:rRNA from 1 species
GACGAACGCUGGCGGCGUGCCUAACACAUGCAAGUAGAACGCAGUUUCGAACGGGUGAGUAACGCGUAGGUAACUGCCUCAUAGCGGGUGAUAACUAUUCGAAACGAUAGCUAAUACCACCUACUGUGAGAUGGACCUGCGUUGUAUUAGCUAGUUGGUGAGGUGAAGGCGCCCCAAGGCGACGAUACAUAGCCGGCCUGGGAGGGUGGUCGGCAACACUUGGACCGAGACACGGACCAGACUCCGAAGGGAGGCAUCAGUAGGGAAAAAUGGGCAAUGGAGGGAAAGUUGACCGAGCAAAGCCGCGUGGGUGAAGGAGGUUGUCGGGUCGUGAAGCUGUUGUCUUGGAGGAGCGGUAACUAACCAGAAAGGGACGGCUAACUACGUGACAGCAGCCGCGGUAAUAC